rnacentral:snRNA from 11 species
UUACUUACCUGGACGGGGUCAAUGGGCUAUCAUAAAGGCCCAUGGCCUAGAUUUGUGGCCUCCAUUGCACUUGGGCCUUUUUUAAUUUUAAUUAAUAAUUAUACAAGUUUAACCUAUAUGUUUUUAAUUAAGC